rnacentral:rRNA from 1 species
UACCAGCACCCCGAGUGGUCGGGACGAUUAUUGGGCCUAAAGCAUCCGUAGCCGGCCUUACAAGUCCUCCGUUAAAUCCAGCUGCUUAACAGAUGGGCUGCGGAGGAUACUAUAAGACUAGGAGGCAGGAGAGGCAAGCGGUACUCAGUGGGUAGGGGUAAAAUCCGUUGAUCCAUUGAAGACCACCAGUGGCGAAGGCGGUUGCCUGGAGCUUUGCUGACGCUGAUGCGCGAAAGCGUGGGGAGCGAUCCGG